CUAGCGACUUCAGAGUUUGAUCCUGGCUCAGGAUGAACGCUGGCGGCGUGCUUAACACAUGCAAGUCGAACGAAGCGCAUAGAAACAAAUCUUCGGAAGCGUAUUUAUGUGACUUAGUGGCGGACGGGUGAGUAACGCGUGGGUAACCUGCCUCAUGCAGGGGGAUAACAGUUAGAAAUGACUGCUAAUACCGCAUAAGCGCACAGUAUCGCAUGGUACAGUGUGAAAAGAUUUAUCAGCAUGAGAUGGACCCGCGUCUGAUUAGCUAGUUGGUGAGGUAACGGCUCACCAAGGCGACGAUCAGUAGCCGACUUGAGAGAGUGAUCGGCCACAUUGGGACUGAGACACGGCCCAA
rnacentral:rRNA from 1 species